UAAAGGAGGAAGAGUAGGGAACUGGUGGGGGUUACGAUUUUAGAAUUGCAAGAUACAGCAUUGGUAACUGCAAAUGAAUAAAUGAGUCUGUGUGGGGGUUACGAUUUGUAUGAUAGUGAUAAAGAUAAAGUUUCUAGACUACUUUUUCUCCUUUCCCCUUCUUUUUCUCACCUGUAAAAUGCUAUAUAUUUAAAUAUUAGGCAUAACCAAUGGAUGAUAAGGCCACAUAUAUUCUAUACAUGAUGCAACCAUUCUCUUUCUAGCUUUCUCAUGCUUUAUAAAGCCCAACAGGUCUUCAUGAUCUCUUCACACAACCAAAAAACACAAGCUUUGUUUCUAAGAGAUGAAGCAGGUUUUGGGUCUGGUAAAGCUGUUGCAAAAGAGGGGGUUUAGCACUUUGGGUUGUCCUGCAUGUGCAAUUACAGGCUAUAGUACCAGGCCAUAGUAGUACUAUUUGUUUAUAUCUUUUGCCCCCUCAAAAGGGUUCAAGGGGUAAGGGCGGAGGUGACAGAAGAGAGUGAGCACACAUGGUAUUUCUUGCAUGCUGGGUUUCAUGCUUGAAGCUCUGUGUGCUCACGCUCUAUCUGUCAUCCCCCCACUCUCUCUCUCUUUCUCUCUCUCGGAUCUCUGUGCAGUCUGUGCCUGUAAAUUAAUUCUUGUCCAUGAUUUUGCAGUGUGUGCGUCUGCGUGUUUGAGUUAAUGGAGUACAGGACCGGCCGGGGAGGAACUGGGUUUUGGUUUCUGUAAUAUUUUUUGGCUGCACAACGUGGGAGGAGGCAGCCUAAGUUUUCCAGGCUCUCAAGAUGAUGCCUAGCCUGAGAACCACCAGAAAUUCGUAUACUAGGAACCUUUGUGUUCAUCCCAUAUCUAUAAUGAUUGGCCGGUUUCCUUGCCCUAAUUAUGUUUGGACGUCUGUGCAGCAGGUGCCUGCAAUUCUGCGACACGAACUUAUGACAGAUCAUAUAUCUAGUUCAUGUACUUGUUUGUGUUUGUACAGAAAGUGCUGCCACUUUUGUCAAUUCCUUGCUUUUUGUUCAGAACAGAAAGGGGGGAAGAAUCAGUUACAUACUAGCUUUUGUUUAGAUCGAGUCAUUCUUCUUGAUGACAGUUGAAUUCUUGGUCGUCCUGUGUACUAUUUUUGUACUGUCAUAAAAACAUAGGGUUCUGACUCGAUCGAUUUUAUUCUUUUCUUUUGUCCCAAUCAAGAUUAUAUUAUCUGAAUUCAGCUUCUAGGUCCUGUUCUUUUCCCCGACGAAAAAAAAAAAAAAACUCUGAGUGUUGCCCUUGUUGGGAUUUUCUGGUGGAUAUCUGUGAUUAAUUAACAUGUUCUUCCCGUUCUCGGGAGAAAGACGAAACACGUUCUUGUUUUGUUUUGGUUUUAUGCAACUUAAUUAUAUGUGAAGUAGUACUGAUCUUUUAAUCAGUCAGACAUAUACCUAAAUAUUGUGAAAAUUAAUGUUGAAACCAUUAAGAAUCAGUAGUACUACUUGAUUAUAUUGUACGGAUCUUAUACCUGCCUACUGAUGAUCUGAUUAUCCAAGAGUUUCUUUGUUUUCUUCCACUUCUGUCACCCCUUGAUCGAUCCACCUCCUCAUUUAUCUGUCCCUCUGUUAAGGAUAAUGCAUGUCAGCUGAUACCAACAGUCAAUCAUGAAGAUGAAGAUCAAAUUCUGGGAGUUCUUGAAGAUACAUCAUAGUUAGGGUUGUUUUCUCAGGAAAUUUAUUAUAUAUAUAGCUGAUAAGGUCGAUGAGAGUUUUGGUUAUCUUGUUAUGAAUAUUUCUUCUUGGUUAAUAUUAGUUUGUUUUGGAGUAAAAGAUCUUUCAGCAUGCACUGCAAAUU